rnacentral:lncRNA from 1 species
UAUCGAAACAAAGGUUCAACUCUGUGAAUUGAGGGCAUACAUCACAAAGAAGAUUCUGAGAAUGCUUCUGUCUAGAUUUUAUAUGAAAAUAUUCCCGUUUCCAACGAAAUCCUCAAAGCUAUCCAAAUAUCCACUUGCAAAUGCCACAAAAAGAGUGUUUCCAAACUGCUCUGUGAAAAGGAAGGUUCAACUCUGUUAGUUGAGUACACACAUCACAAAGAGGUUUCUGAGAAUGCUGCUGACUAGUUUUUAUUUGAAGAUAUUUCCCUUUUCACCUUAGGCCUAAGAGUGCUCGAAAUGUCCAUUUCCACAUACUACAAAAAGAGUGUUUCAAACCUGCUGUAUGAAAGGGAAUGUUCAACUCUAUGAGUUGAAUGCAAACAUUACAAAGAGGUUUCUGAGAAUGCUUCUGUCUAGAUUUUAUAUGAAGAUAUUCCCGUUUCCAACGAAAUCUUC